rnacentral:rRNA from 1 species
UACGUAGGGUGCGAGCGUUAUUCGGAAUUACUGGGCGUAAAGCGUGCGCAGGCGGUCCGUUAAGACAGAUGUGAAAUCCCCGGGCUCAACCUGGGAACUGCAUUUGUGACUGUAGAGCUGGAGUACGGCAGAGGGGGAUGGAAUUCCGCGUGUAGCAGUGAAAUGCGUAGAUAUGCGGAGGAACACCGAUGGCGAAGGCAGUCCCCUGGGCCUGUACUGACGCUCAUGCACGAAAGCGAGGGGAGCGAACGGG